CUGGGGGGUGCUAUACAUGCAGUCGAGCGGACAGAUGGGAGCUUGCUCCCUGAUGUUAGCGGCGGACGGGUGAGUAACACGUGGGUAACCUGCCUGUAAGACUGGGAUAACUCCGGGAAACCGGGGCUAAUACCGGAUGGUUGUCUGAACCGCAUGGUUCAGACAUAAAAGGUGGCUUCGGCUACCACUUACAGAUGGACCCGCGGCGCAUUAGCUAGUUGGUGAGGUAACGGCUCACCAAGGCGACGAUGCGUAGCCGACCUGAGAGGGUGAUCGGCCACACUGGGACUGAGACACGGCCCAGACUCCUACGGGAGGCAGCAGUAGGGAAUCUUCCGCAAUGGACGAAAGUCUGACGGAGCAACGCCGCGUGAGUGAUGAAGGUUUUCGGAUCGUAAAGCUCUGUUGUUAGGGAAGAACAAGUGCCGUUCAAAUAGGGCGGCACCUUGACGGUACCUAACCAGAAAGCCACGGCUAACUACGUGCCAGCAGCCGCGGUAAUACGUAGGUGGCAAGCGUUGUCCGGAAUUAUUGGGCGUAAAGGGCUCGCAGGCGGUUUCUUAAGUCUGAUGUGAAAGCCCCCGGCUCAACCGGGGAGGGUCAUUGGAAACUGGGGAACUUGAGUGCAGAAGAGGAGAGUGGAAUUCCACGUGUAGCGGUGAAAUGCGUAGAGAUGUGGAGGAACACCAGUGGCGAAGGCG
rnacentral:rRNA from 1 species